ensembl:lncRNA
CAACCACUGACUUAGCUGAUAGUUCCCACAUCAUUUCAGAGUGUCUCAGUACAGAAACUGCUAAACGUAAUGUUGACAGUAAUCACUGUCCUUCCACAAUCAGUGAUGUAUUUUUUGAGAAAGAAAGAUCAGAUUCUCCAUCUUGCCCAAAUCUCACCAUUAGCACUGAUCCAGAGCCAUGUAAGAUUCAUAGUAGCAAUGUUCAGUGUUCAGCCCCUGCACUGAUUUCAAUGGAGCUUUCUGAAUGUGCUGCUUCCCCACGUGCAGGAGUGGGUAAGUGCCAAGGCCCAAGUACUUUCCCGAAUACAGUACACCACAUAGAAAUCAAGACCAGUUCAAGUGUGUUCUGUGCUGCAGAUCAAACAUCUAAUAAAGGACAUGAUGAGCUGUCUGACUCCUCUGAUGAUGUUAACUGUUUAGAUCAGCCUUUUGAAGAACUUGCCACCAGUACCACCACUCACAGCAAAGGCAUCACCGCAAACCUGGGAGAAAAACUGCACACAUCUCUCGUAAAAGAAAACCACAUUCACCCAGAAUCAAAGGCUGUGGAUGACAAAAAUAGCCUGUUCAAGAAAGCGGCCCAUCCACCUCUUUCCCAGUGUUCUCUGAACUCCAUCCCUGAGUUGUUGAUCUCUGAGUGGAAGGACAUGGAUGAGGAGCCUCUAGAGGAUUUUGAAAAACUGGAGCAACUGUGUUGCAUUUCUGGGGAUGAAGAGACACUUGGAGAUCUGUUUUUAGGAAACUUAGAUCUGCUUGAAUCUUUUAAGAGAAAUCCAGAGCAAAGAACUAGUGGUGCUGGUGGCAUAAUAAAUCAUCAUGACUCAGCAGACGCAGAGGGGAAGAUGAGAGUAGAGCUUAAAGAGGAAGUUGACAGGAUAUCGAAAAGUACCACGGUUGUCUUGCAACAGUCAGACCAAUAUGAAAACAUUUCUCCAAAUUUCCCUGGAGAAGCUCAGCAGUCAGUGGAAAAGAAAACGGGGCAGCUUGUGCCAACAUCUCUCUCACCAUGCAAUUCUGUAGAUGGUUCCAAAGGGCAGAGGUCUCUCUCAAAAAUGCAGACAAAAAAUGGACUGAUGAUGCAGGUUUGUGAGGAAAGACUUCAGUACUCUCUCAGUGAAAAUGUUAAAGCCAAUGUCCUGUGGGGGUCUACAGU